CAGGCCUUUCAGAGCCACUGACUCACCAGCAGCACAAUGAUGAUGUCACUGACUCCACUGCUGACCAUCCUGGGGCUCCUGGUUCAGGGAUCUUCAGGACAAGUCACCAUAAGUCAGACUCCAGGAUCUCUGUCUCUUGUUCCAGGACAACCUGUCUCUAUUCAAUGUAACGUCAGUCCAAGUACAGAUUACUGUUUCAGCUGGUACCUUCAGAAACCAGGAGAAGUUCCAAGACUCCUUAUUAAAUGCAAAAGCAACCGUCAUUCUGGAGUCCCUGAUCGUUUCAGUGGAUCAGGUUCUGGGAAUACUGACUUCACUCUGACCAUCAGUGGAGUUCAGGCUGAAGAUGCUGCAGUUUAUUACUGUCAGAGUGCUCACUACAUCAACAGCAAGUGGAUGUUCACACAGUGA